GGAAUAUUGCGCAAUGGCCGAAAGGCUGACGCAGCGACGCCGCGUGAAGGAUGAAAUCCGUUAGGAUGUAAACUUCUUUUGCAGGGGAUGAAUGUCCCGCUAUAGGCGGGAUUGACCGUACCCUGCGACUAAGGAAUGGGUAACUAAGUGCCAGCAGCCGCGGUAAUACGUAGGAUCCGAGGGUUGUCCGGAUUUACUGGGUGUAAAGGGCGUGUAGGUGGACCUUUAAGUCGGUGGUGAAAUCUUGCAGCUUAACUGUAAAAUUGCCGUCGAUACUGGAGGUCUUGAGUGCAGCAGAGGGAGAUGGAAUUCAUGGUGUAGCGGUGAAAUGUGUAGAUAUCAUGAAGAACACCGGUAGCGAAGGCGGUCUCCUGGUCUGUAACUGACACUGAGGCGCGAAAGCGUGGGGAGCAAAC
rnacentral:rRNA from 1 species